GAUGAACGCUAGCGGCGUGCUUAACACAUGCAAGUCGAGCGGGCAAUUUAUCUAGCACUGAUUACUUCAAAUGGAAAUCAUAAGUGUAAUCAUGAAUUUCUACCUUUAAUAAAGAAAAAAGAAAUUCAUGUACGCAAAUAGUGAUAACACAUUUUAGUGGAGUGAUGAGUGCUGGAUAAAUUGCUAGCGGCGGACGGGUGCGUAACACGUGGGUAACCUGCCCCUAUCACUGGGAUAACACACUGAAAAGUGUGCUAAUACCAGAUAAUAUAAGCUUUUGGCAUCAUUAGCUUAUCAAAGAAUUUCGGAUAGGGAUGGGCCCGCGUCUGAUUAGCUAGUUGGUGAGGUAACGGCUCACCAAGGCAACGAUCAGUAGCCGACCUGAGAGGGUGAUCGGCCACACUGGAACUGAGACACGGUCCAGACUCCUACGGGAGGCAGCAGUGGGGAAUAUUGCACAAU
rnacentral:rRNA from 1 species